UACGGGGGGGGCAAGCGUUGUUCGGAAUUACUGGGCGUAAAGGGCUCGUAGGUGGCCAACUAAGUCAGACGUGAAAUCCCUCGGCUUAACCGGGGAACUGCGUCUGAUACUGGAUGGCUUGAGUUCGGGAGAGGGAUGCGGAAUUCCAGGUGUAGCGGUGAAAUGCGCAGAUAUCAGGAGGAACACCGGUGGCGAAGGCGGCGACCUGGUCCGAUACUGACGCUGAGGCGCGAAAGCGUGGGGAGCAAACAGG
rnacentral:rRNA from 1 species